rnacentral:lncRNA from 1 species
UCGGCAAAGCAAGAUUGGACGGUCCAGAUCUCUAAAGUACGUCAGCACAUAGAAACCCUAGCCGCACUCCCGACCCAGCCGACCACACCGUCUCCUCGUGUUUUCUCUCACGAGAGGAGAAAUCAGCGAAGAAAGCGCCGCCGCUUCACCCGCGUCGCCUCCUCCGCCGCCAUCCCUUUUCCUCCCUCUAACUCCCUAAUUCCGCCGAGCUUCUUCGCCGCAACCACCGUUCGUCGUCCAAGUUUCAUCGUCUGUUGGAUCCAGCGCCUCACAGGUGAGGAGGUACGCGUGCUCUCCCUCCCGGUUUGGAGCAUCCGCCGCCCUUUUUCCCUUCCCCUCCCAUGUAGUCAUGUCCUUGCGCCAGCAUGGAUUUGAGCCUUGCCAGCACUCCGACCUCUUCGGCAUCUCCGCCUCGACCGUGGGGUAGGUGUCAUCGCAAGCUGCCGGCGCUGGUUCAUCUCCACCUGACGAUCUCGACCUUCCAGUCGUCUAUGGUGAGGUUCUGAUCGAUUCCGCUGGCCAUCGGUGCUUCCUCCACAUCCAGACCAUGACCCAUCAACUCUUGGACUGAUCCCAUAUCGGUUUGCCAUUCAUAAUAGUAGUUGACAUUAACAGCUCGAUGCAUUAUGGCAAACAAGAGCAAUUGUUUCUUUCGGAUGAAAAUGUGUUGUGGUACCUUUAUACAGACCUGCACAACAAGGUAAUUAUCUGCAUUCCACAGUAUGGAAUAGUACACUUCCCCAGUUUUUAUUUGCAAGUGCAAUAGAUGGAUCUAGACUUCAUACUAUACUUUGAUGCACAAGACAAUUGCUUAUGUUCUGUCCAUGCCCUGCUUAUGUUCUUCUUUCAGCAAAACAGGGGAGGUUAGUGCAUUUCUUUUCCCGCCUCAAAAUUCUGAAAUGAAGGAUAUUCAGAUAGAUCGUUUGUGUAAAAAUAAACUAGAUGGUUUUUAUUGUUUUGGUGCAAACCUGUCGGCAAUCGUAUCUAGAUCAAGCUCUAUAAUUAUGUGUGAAUCAUACAUAUUGUAACAGCUGCAGUAGUUUAAAACUGGGUUUUUGUAGGUCACAACAAUCCCAAACCCAAAAAAGGAUAUAUCUAAUAUCUGUCAGAACUUUACUAGACCAAAAUAACCAUAUUUUCAUUUCAUGGCAUAAUUUACUCAUACCUUAGUUUUCUUUCAAUAUGGUGUUUCAAUAACACAUUACAUCCAGUGCUCAGUCCAGAGGUUCUUUCCAUGGUGUUUCAAUAAGUUAUUACAUCAAGUGGUCACCCCAAAGGAUCAAUGCUUGCAUUUCCCAUAGGUACUUUUAUGCUAGAAAAGUAUCAACCUCAGUUGAUUUGUAUUAAUGACCAUGAUUUAUUGAAUUUCUUAUCAGUGUUCACAUCAAGAGUAUAUGUUAUACCUCAAUUGAUCAUGCCUCCAUAUCUCUAGCUAUACUGCGUGGUUCUCUUGUGCUUUGCAAAUGAAGUUCUACUUCAAUAUAUUAUGGCAUGUGACAUUCAAUUCGUUGAAACCUCUUCUUAGUUCAAACCAUUCUAGAUAGGUCCUGCCAUAUGCUCCAAUGGUUGUAGUUGGGACAGUUAAUAUUUCUUUCCCUCUAAAGUAAUAUUCUUGCUUUGAUUUUUUUUUGCCUUGCACUGCAUGUUAUUGGAAUUUUAGAAGAUCGAUCCUUUUGGAUUGAAUUUUUUUGUUUUCACAAAUAUGAUUAUGAAGCUUUCAUUAUAAGUUGACUUCAUGCAAUGAUGUUAUUAAUCAUUUUUUUGUUUUAUAGAUUCAAUGUUUUGUUCCCCUUUUCGUGAGCUGAAAAUAUUUCUUGAGAAUACUUAUGAAUGCCCAUCUAAUAUGAAAUUUUUGGACAUAAUGUAGGGGAUAGCUUUAGCAGCAUCCAGUACUAGCUCAUGUGCAAAAUUGCUAUGGAUAAACGUUAUGAUGUGAUGUUUUUAUCGAGCUAAAGCACUACAUUUCUUUGCAACGCAAGUUCUAUUGAAGAGAUCCGUUUGUACAUAUGUCAGACCACCUUCUAAUUGCGCUUUAUAACCACUUAGUUUCCCUAAAAUAAUCCACUGUAUGUAUGCGCCACUUUUCUGUGGUUGCUAUUUUUGCUCAAGUGUACAUGAUCAUACAGAUAGCACUCCAAACAAACCGAUCAAAACAACUCAUAUUUGAACUUUGGUGGUAUGGUUCGAAUGUAAUGUUGGCUAUAUCUACCUUCUGUUGCUUUUAUUAUGACAAACCUUCUAAUGUCAGCACCGGCACACGCAGCGUAGCGUGUGGCUCUUUCUAGUAGAUAGUAUAGCGAAAGUAGUAAGCACCUCCUGCUUCAUAUAGAGGUU